rnacentral:rRNA from 2 species
AGUUCUCGUUGAUGAUCGGUGCUUGCACCGAGAUUCAACAUGGAACGAGUGGCGGACGGGUGAGUAACACGUGGGUAACCUGCCCUUAAGUGGGGGAUAACAUUUGGAAACAGAUGCUAAUACCGCAUAGAUCCAAGAACCGCAUGGUUCUUGGCUGAAAGAUGGCGUAAGCUAUCGCUUUUGGAUGGACCCGCGGCGUAUUAGCUAGUUGGUGAGGUAAUGGCUCACCAAGGCGAUGAUACGUAGCCGAACUGAGAGGUUGAUCGGCCACAUUGGGACUGAGACACGGCCCAAACUCCUACGGGAGGCAGCAGUAGGGAAUCUUCCACAAUGGACGCAAGUCUGAUGGAGCAACGCCGCGUGAGUGAAGAAGGCUUUCGGGUCGUAAAACUCUGUUGUUGGAGAAGAAUGGUCGGCAGAGUAACUGUUGUCGGCGUGACGGUAUCCAACCAGAAAGCCACGGCUAACUACGUGCCAGCAGCCGCGGUAAUACGUAGGUGGCAAGCGUUAUCCGGAUUUAUUGGGCGUAAAGCGAGCGCAGGCGGUUUUUUAAGUCUGAUGUGAAAGCCCUCGGCUUAACCGAGGAAGCGCAUCGGAAACUGGGAAACUUGAGUGCAGAAGAGGACAGUGGAACUCCAUGUGUAGCGGUGAAAUGCGUAGAUAUAUGGAAGAACACCAGUGGCGAAGGCGGCUGUCUGGUCUGUAACUGACGCUGAGGCUCGAAAGCAUGGGUAGCGAACAGGAUUAGAUACCCUGGUAGUCCAUGCCGUAA